UACGUAGGGGGCUAGCGUUGUUCGGAAUUACUGGGCGUAAAGCGUGCGCAGGCGGCUUCUCAAGUCAGGGGUGAAAGCCCAGAGCUCAACUCUGGAAUUGCCUUUGAGACUGAGUGGCUUGAGUACGGGAGAGGUGAGUGGAAUUCCCAGUGUAGAGGUGAAAUUCGUAGAUAUUGGGAAGAACACCGGUGGCGAAGGCGGCUCACUGGCCCGUAACUGACGCUCAGGCACGACAGCGUGGGGAGCAAACAGG
rnacentral:rRNA from 1 species